rnacentral:rRNA from 1 species
CAGUUUCCCUGGAGGUACCUGACGCAGCAACGCCGCGUGAGCGAAGAAGGCCUUCGGGUUGUAAACCUCUUACCAUGGGAAGAUAAUGACGGUACCAUACGAAAGCCCCGGCUAACUACUUGCCACCAGCCGCGGUAAUACUUAGGGGGCGAGCGUUGUCCGGAAUUACUGGGCGUAAAGAGCACGUAGGCGGCUAUAUUACUCAUGUGUGAAAAACCUGGGCUUAACCGAGGGUAUGCUUCUGAAACUAUAUAGCUUGUUUCAUGGAGAGGAGAGCGGAAUUCCUGGUGUAGCGGUGAAAUGCUUAGAGAUCAUGAAGAAUACCACUGGCGAAAGCGGCUCUCUGGACUUGAACUGACGCUGAUGAGCCAAAGCGUGGGGAGCAAACAGGAUUAUAUACCCUGGUAGUCCACGCCGCAAACGAUGGAUACUACGUGUGGGUGAGGAACCAUCCGUGCCGGAGUUAACGCAAUAAGUAUCCCGCCUGGGGAGUACAGCCGCAAGGUUGAAACUCAAAUGAAUUGACGGAGA